UUUAAAGAGAGUUUGAUCCUGGCUCAGGACGAACGCUGGCGGCGUGCCUAAUACAUGCAAGUCGAACGAACGGAGGAAGAGCUUGCUCUUCCAAAGUUAGUGGCGGACGGGUGAGUAACACGUGGGCAACCUGCCUGUAAGUUGGGGAUAACUCCGGGAAACCGGGGCUAAUACCGAAUGAUAAAGUGUGGCGCAUGCCACGCUUUUGAAAGAUGGUUUCGGCUAUCGCUUACAGAUGGGCCCGCGGUGCAUUAGCUAGUUGGUAGGGUAAUGGCCUACCAAGGCAACGAUGCAUAGCCGACCUGAGAGGGUGAUCGGCCACACUGGGACUGAGACACGGCCCAGACUCCUACGGGAGGC
rnacentral:rRNA from 1 species